rnacentral:rRNA from 1 species
UACGUAGGGGGCAAGCGUUGUCCGGAAUCAUUGGGCGUAAAGCGCGCGUAGGCGGCCCGGUAAGUCCGUUGUGAAAGUCAAAGGCUCAACCUUUGAACGCCGAUGGAUACUGCCGGGCUAGAGUCCGGAAGAGGCGAGUGGAAUUCCUGGUGUAGCGGUGGAAUGCGCAGAUAUCAGGAGGAACACCAAUAGCGAAGGCAGCUCGCUGGGACGGUACUGACGCUGAGGCGCGAAAGUGUGGGGAGCGAACAGG